UGGAAAACAAUAAAAGAAAACAUUAAAAAAAAAAAAAAAAAAAAAACACUUCCAGAUACAAAUAUUAUUUGCUGUUAAUAAAUCACUAAAGCGAUACGAUAGCGUAUUUAUAUACACUAGUUACUACCUGACUGAAUUUAUGAUUAGUAAAAUGCUUGAAAUUAGGUUUGUAGACAAGUAUUAAUUGCCUAAAAUGCAUGCGCAUGUCUUCACGCUCAUGAAAAAAAGUUGCUAUAUUUGUGUGUUAGUGUAUAAUGAAAACAAUUUAAUUUUAGAACUUAUAAAAUAUAGAUAAAUUUAUUUUAAAAGCUUCCCAAAAAAAAUCUAAAAUUUUAUUUUUCGUUAAAAAUAUUUUUUAAUAAUAAUUAAACGUUUUUAAACUUAAUAUAUUUGAGUAUUUUUCAGUUUUUUUUUUUUUAAUGAAAUGUUUCCAACAAAAAACAAAAAAAACAAAACAAAACAUAAUUUUACAUCGUCCGUUGAAAUAGUUAUGAAACUUUAAUUUCAUAUAUCAUUGAUAUGAACUGCUCAUAUAUAAUGUUCAAAGGCUUACCGGAAGUGUAAUCAAAUAAAAUCCCCAUGCCGAUAUAAAUACACGUUCACACACUCACCCUGUUAAUAAAAUCACGUGAUGUCGCGCUGAGCUCGAGGCCAUUCGAUCCACCUGACGCGCGCUCUGACGCGCUUCUCCAUCGCUGCCAUUUCUUAUAAACUCUUCUUCUCUCUGAUAAAGAGCACCGUGCGGUCAAAAUAUCGAUGCUCCCCGUGAUACGACUGGCGAGGAAUGAGAUGCUUUUGGGCGUUUUUCUCCUGCUUUUUAUUCCGCGCUUCCUGUGGAACUCAGGAAUUGGACGGACAAUUCCAAAGCGGAAAUCCUGCAAGUGUUUGGAGCUGAUAAACCCUCUGGCUGCACAAACACUCCCCUCAAGUCCCUUUACGGGGCUCGACCAUAUCAUUCCCCGUGAAGUCUGCUGUAUUUCUCCUUUUGUUUUCCACAAAAGAAAGUCAGUCAUACUGGUCUGGAAGGACAUGAGGGUGAGUAAAUGAUGACAGCAUUUCCAUUUAUGGUGAACUAUCACUUUAAGUCUGGUUAAUGGCUGUGGGUGGGGGUUAUGGGUUGGUGAUUUAAACCAUCAGAUUAUAUCAGAGCAGAAAAGAGGUCUGGUGACAUUGACGUUGUAAUGCUGAGAGGGUUUAAUCAGUUUGUGAUGUGUGUUCUGAUGCACACACACGGUGGAGUUGAAAAGAUUUUCUUUGAUCCACAUAUUUAUUGUAUGUGUUAGAGAACGAAAGAGCCUGAUUCUGAAUGUAUUAGUCCAAAUAAGUGGAGGAAAUGGCUCUGCACAGCGUUUCCUGUGAAUCAGGAAGCAGGAAGUGUGUGGAAGAGGAAGAUUGUGCUUUGGGUCACAGUGAACAAUGAGAGUAAGAGCUUAAAGGAAAGAGUCCUGCGUCAGCGUGAGAGCCUGGCGGGAAAGUGACGGAUGGGGAUUCAGAGAGUGAGAGCUGAAGAGAACGAGAGAAGACAAAAUUAUCUGUUCAGAGAGAUCAUGCCACAGAUGCUGUUCAUGUCACAUGUUCAUUUAUUGUUAAUUAUAAAAGCAACGUGUUCAUUUUUUUUUUUCAAAUAAAGCCACUUUUUUUGCUUCUGCA
ensembl:lncRNA